rnacentral:rRNA from 1 species
GAUGAACGCUGGCGGCGUGCUUAACACAUGCAAGUCGAACGAGAGAAGAUCGGUGCUUGCACUGAUCCGAUCGAGUGGCGGACGGGUGAGUAACGCGUGGGUAACCUGCCUCAUACAGGGGAAUAACAGUUGGAAACGGCUGCUAAAACCGCAUAAGCGCACAGUAUCGCAUGAUACAGUGUGAAAAACUCCGGUGGUAUGAGAUGGACCCGCGUUUGAUUAGCUAGUUGGUGAGGUAACGGCCCACCAAGGCAACGAUCAGUAGCCGGCCUGAGAGGGUGAACGGCCACAUGGGGACUGAGAAACGGCCCAAACCCCUGCGGGAGGCAGCAGUGGGGAAUAUUGCACAAUGGGGGAAACCCUGAUGCAGAGACGCCGCGUGAGUGAUGAAGUAUUUCGGUAUGUAAAGCUCUAUCAGCAGGGAAGAUAAUGACGGUACCUGACUAAGAAGCACCGGCUAAAUACGUGCCAGCAGCCGCCGUAA